rnacentral:rRNA from 1 species
AACAGGAUUAGAUACCCUGGUAGUCCACGCCGUAAACGAUGUCGACUUGGAGGUUGUGCCCUUGAGGCGUGGCUUCCGGAGCUAACGCGUUAAGUCGACCGCCUGGGGAGUACGGCCGCAAGGUUAAAACUCAAAUGAAUUGACGGGGGCCCGCACAAGCGGUGGAGCAUGUGGUUUAAUUCGAUGCAACGCGAAGAGCCUUACCUGGUCUUGACAUCCACGGAAGUUUUCAGAGAUGAGAAUGUGCCUUCGGGAACCGUGAGACAGGUGCUGCAUGGCUGUCGUCAGCUCGUGUUGUGAAAUGUUGGGUUAAGUCCCGCAACGAGCGCAACCCUUAUCCUUUGUUGCCAGCGGUCCGGCCGGGAACUCAAAGGAGACUGCCAGUGAUAAACUGGAGGAAGGUGGGGAUGACGUCAAGUCAUCAUGGCCCUUACGACCAGGGCUACACACGUGCUACAAUGGCGCAUACAAAGAGAAGCGACCUCGCGAGAGCAAGCGGACCUCAUAAAGUGCGUCGUAGUCCGGAUUGGAGUCUGCAGCUCGACUCCAUGAAGUCGGAAUCGCUAGUAAUCGUGGAUCAGAAUGCCACGGUGAAUACGUUCCCGGGCCUUGUACACACCGCCCGUCACACCAUGGGAGUGGGUUGCAAAAGAAGUAGGUAGCUUAACCUUCGGGAGGGCGCUUACCACUUUGUGAUUCAUGACUGGGGUGAAGUCGUAACAAGGUAACC